rnacentral:misc_RNA from 1 species
AAAAAAUUCUCUGAGACAAGCGCGUUAUUGGCAUCUCAGAGGGACACCGUCGGCUGUGUCUGUGAUCGUCGUUGCCCGAGCGUUCAUUUUCAUGAAGUGAUCUCGAGUCCUCGUCUAGAAAUAAAUACAAAAGAAUUCAUAACAUCAAAUUUGAGUGAGUUUAGUCCCGAAUAUAAAUUUAUUGAUCAACACUCUUCAUGUUUGGUGUGUUCCCGUGGCACAAAUUCUGAUAAUAGAUUCAUAGGCGACUUGUGCAAUGACGUGCGUGUAGGAACUGGUGCUGUUAAUGACGUCUGUUGCAAAGUGACUUUUGUUUCUGCGUGUCUGUCUGGAAGAGAAGAGACGUGUACCGAGGAUGACCGUGUCACAAUGGGGCGAGUGACGUUAGUAGUUGCUGGCACAUUGCCGCCUCUGCAGGUCAGUAAAAUCUGUGACUUGAUCGAGGGCCCCAGUUGUUCAGGUGCCGGCCACAGUGCUAGUGCUGAAGAGACCGAGUUCGCGUGUUUAAAAGUCACUGCAAUUGAUACUGACUUACACUUUCCCGUGAUCCUGUCUGAUCCUCUGCCGUCUGCAUGCAAGUGGUCAUUAGAACUUACCUCUGAAUGUGAUGAUUUCUUUAGAAAAAUACUGCAUUUGAAAAGAAUGGCUCAUUUACAGAGGUCUGCAUCUGAGUCUUACAGUAGUAAUGUGUUGCCUCCUUUGGGGUUGGAACGGACUAGCAGGCUUUAUGCUUUUAAGCUCAUGAAAAAUGAAAACGAAAAUGUGCGGAAACUCCUACCUUAUUUCAUUGAAAAAAGUAAAACAGAUGAAAAAUAUGUGCCGUUUCGAUCUCGAAAAUUGUCAUCUCCAAAGCUGGAGAGCGUCAAGAGACGUUCUGAUGUGUGUGAUGUACUUAUGUACCGGGACGCCCAGCCCUCUAAAAACUACGAUGUGGCACCUGUAGAUCCGGCGGACAACGAAACGCCUCAAGCCAUUCGCUUAUGCGGCGUUCCUCUGGGCAAUUGUCCCAUAACCACAGAAAGUAACUUAUUCUAUGCGACUCGCAGGAGCGGCAGCAUACGGUACUCUUCUCCCCCCGCGAGUCCUCUUGUGUCGAUAGAAGGUUCCCCUUCGUCGUCCCCUCAGCGUAGGCUUGUUGAUCGCGAUGGCUCUGUUCCUCCUGGCACCUUGCCAACUGCUUCUGCCAGGGCUCGUGACUCACCCUCGUCUGCGCCUCCCGUUGCUCCCUAUGCCGUCUGUCAUGAUGCUAAAAAUACAUAUCAAGGUCUUUCUAUAAAAGACCCAACUCUGUUACAAUAUUUACCUUCUGAAACUCCUGCCUUUUGCACAACGGUUGAUAGAAUCAAUACCACUCACGGGGAUGCAGACAACUUGAUCAACAGCAACGCUGCGGCUUCGCAAACGGGCUCUGCUGCUGAGACUGAGUUGCUCGAUGUCAGAUUCCAUUCUAACGAUGUUGCAUCUUCUACUGAGCGUGAUCAAUUGAAGAUCGAAAAUAGUAUGGAAAGCAACGAGUCUAUUGAUCUUACUCGAAGUGAAGUGAUAGAGGUCCCAGUCAAAGAUUCAGAUGAUAUCUCAUUACUGACGCCGUCACUAUUGCCUGUUACCAGCAAGCAUUCAUACGACUUGCCCUCUUUACCUCCACACAACGCUUUGCCUAAUCAAGAGUGCGGUAUUUCUAUUGGCAACGGCAGCUCAUCUCCGGAUGGAGUUCAGUGCGAGGUUUUGAUGGUAAAAGAUUUGCAGGUUAAUAAUGAGCUUGGGGAGCAUAACAAAAAUAUUUGCACAAAUUCUACGACGGAUGCUCGUGCAAAUAUCUUAAAUGUACGUGAUAAAUGUGACGAGUUUUCAAUUCAUCUUGACACUGAGGGACAAAUCGACGAAGCUUCUGAAGUUAAAAUCGUCAACGCAGAUGAAAGUAUCAAGCCUAAGGCACUCGUUCGUUUUGGGCAACUGCAAGGUUAUGAUAUUCUCAAGCCUGACGUUUCAAGCUCAGUUAAAAACAGUGAGCCCACAGCGGCAUUUCAAGCAGAACUAGAUAAAAGUAUCGAGUUGAAGGACGUUGACGCAUCGGAAACAAAAAGCAGCAUGUGUCACGAUCUUGUAGCCCGCGAUCUUGAGGAAGUCGAUGUGUCAAAAGUUUCAGGCUACGGAGAAGUCCUGAGAGAUUCCUGCUUGAGAAAUGAUGCAUCACAACAAAAUAAAAUAAAUCAUAGUAUUAUGUCAUUCAAUAUAAUUGAGCAACGGGAUUCCGGUAAUGAGAUGGUGUGCUUAUCAAAAGUUGCCGAAAUUGAUAACACCAAUUUCAAUCCUGGCAAAAAUCCUGUGGUAUCACCUUUAGUUGAGAGAAAAGAACUCGCAUGCAAAAAAACUCUUCAGGAGUCCUCAUUGGAGGACAUAGAGAGCAAGAACGAUGGUGCAACAUUGAAGCUCAUUAAUAUUGAGCUUCUAAAAUCGUCUCAGUAUGAAAGCGAAGACACAAAUAAACACGAUUUUUUUAAAGAGUCGAUUAACGAACAAAAACAUGGGGGGUUGGAUGAAUCACUCAAAUUUUCUGCAUUAGAUUCUAGUGCAAUCGAGCGUGUAUUAUUCAUUGACGAGGCGCCUGAAGUUCCUCAAGAAGAUUCGCUGGAUAAUUUCAACGAUUUAUCAAUUUUUAUGCGACAAGACAAGGAUCCUCUACAUGCGCUUGAUGAAUCAAACGCCAUGCUUAGAAAUAGAGAAACUUUUGAAAAGAAUAAAAUCUUGACUGACGAUUCUGGGUAUUUAUUUGGUGAAUUGGACAUUUUGCCGCCAUAUACCUCAUUUACGGGUGUCGUUGUCGAUCAACCAGACUCACAAACAAUAAUGCCAGAAAUGCAAUUUCAAGCCGACUCUUGUAAGCCAAACGAAGACAUUUAUGAAUCAGAUUUUGCACUUAUCGAAAAUGAUUUGUCUGAUAUACUUACUUUGGUUGAUAAAGUUUCCAGGUUCGGAGAGAUUAAAGAGAAUCAAGUGUUGACCGUGACAGAAUGCACCUCAGCAACGUGUGUCAAUGCCGGAGAAAUCUCUGUUAUCCCUCCAAAUGUUAUUCCGAACCCAGAAUUUCCUAAAAAUAACCAAUUUGAUUUUUCUUCGCUGGAAGAUUCAAUGCAGACGUGCCAAAGUAUUUUUGAUGAAACCAAUUUUGAGAGGUUUAUGGACAUCCCUACUAAAGAGUCCGUCGUGCGCGAUGAUCACGAUUUUAUACAUGCUUCCUUUACUACUGACGACACUGAAGCUGAUCUCUCUUAUCUUGACAAAGACGUCAUGCCAAUACAGGACUCUUUGCUCGACUGGACAAACGUUGCAGUUUCAGACAAAAGAACUGAAUUAUUUCUGGAAGACAGUAAAGAAAUAUCGAGUAUCACCAUUCCAGCUGCCUACACAAAUGUUGUGGUUCCAGACAACGCAACUGAAUUUUCGCUGGAAACAAAUAAAGAUGGAUCGAGUAGCACCACUCCAGUAGCCUACACGAAAGUUGCAGUUCCAGACCAUAGAACUGAAUUAUUGCUUGAAGUGAGUGAAGAUGUAUCGAGUGGCGAAACUUCAGUCGCCUACACAAACGUUGCAGUUCCAGACCAUAGAACUGAAUUAUUAAUAGAAAUGAGUGAAGAUGUAUCGAGUAGCACCACUCCAGUAGCCUACACCGCUGCAGUUCUAGACAAGGAAACUGAACUGUUGAUGGAAGUAAGUGAAGAUGUAUCGAGUAGCACCACUCCAGUAGCCUACGCAAAUGUUGCAGUUCCAGACCAUAGAACUGAAUUAUUGCUGGAAGUGAGUGAAGAUGUAUCGAAUGGCGAAACUUCAGUCGAUAUAUUGAAGGUCGGUCAUGGCGAGACGCUCACGGACGAAUGGGCUUUGCCGAAUAAUUUUGUGGAAAAUUCUGUUACCGAAGAUAUUUGUCUGGCAAAUGAUCGAUCAGAAUCAAAAGAAGCUGCAUACGGGAGUGAAAAUUCUCCAUUAACUGACUCAACAUUAGAUAGCUCAAUCAUAGCCCCUUGCAAUUCAUUCAACGUCAAAACUGAUGCUGAGAGAGACGAGACUAGUCAACUUAAUGAAAUUAUUUCCAACCAAAACUUAGGUCAGUCGGAUUCUUCAAACAACUCAAUUGGCGAUGGAAAAUCUAACGUGCCUGAGGUCACCGCCUAUACGAAGCUUCAUUCAUUUAAUUCAUCUGAGUGUAGUAGUUCCUUGUGUAGCAAACCCGUUUAUCCUGUCACCGAACCUGCCACAAAUGUUACGCAGACGUGUCAUGUUAGUCGUCUUAGAAAAGUUUGUGCUAGUGACUUUAAUCGCGGUCAAGCUCUGGCAGAUCGAGCUGCCAAAAUUGCCCAAAUGCAUGGAGCUUCUCCGUCAAAACCGCGUCCUUUCGCUUUUCCUGCUGAUGUUAUCCGAUCUCAAGUUGCGAGGCAAAUUCAGCCUAUUCAACCUCCUAUAAAUGAGUGUGCUGAAAGUAACACGCUGCGCUCCAAGUCAGCUAGCCCGAUGACACAGAAGCGUAAAAAGAAGGAAACUGUUGCCAAGCGCUUGAGGAGCACGUCUCCUAAUAAUCGUCUUAGAAUUAGCUUGUUUAGCGAAAUAUCAGAAUUACAGGAUGAUGUGAAUCCUGAUGAAGCAAGUAACGAAUUUUCGAAAACUGAACAAACAAACGGUUCUCGUGAAGAAUCAUCAAAUUUAUCUUUCAUUAAUACUGUCUACAUGAGAGUGCCGUCGUCAUACGAUGCCAAAACUGACAUACAAGAAAUGCCAUCCCCACCUGCUACCUAUGUAUCCAAUUUUACGCAAGUUACAUACUGUGAUGUACCUUGCUUCGACGAAACUAAACUAACUAAGACAAUAAGAACUGAAUUCAAGUUACCUCAUCUUUCAGUGAUCGAACCGAUCGAAAAGGCUGAAAAAGACCUCAAAAGGUGGGCUUCAUACAUUGCUAACAAAAUAUUAAUUGAAAUAUUUGAUUUUGAGUCUCCCAAGUGGCAAAAACAAUUCUUGGAGCAAUUGUCGUGCGAAGAUAAGACUCGUCAGAUCGAUGUAGAGACAAAAGGGAAUACCCGAAACCAUUGUGAAUAUAAAAUCGCUCAGUUACUCGAAUCUCCCGACUCAACGUCUCCUCUGGAAGAUUCGCUUUCUUCAACUCACGAAUCUUUGAGGAAAGAAGCAGUAACCUCCACUGCUCAUUCAGCCUCUUCUGCCGAUCGUGGCACGGGUCGGGAAGAGGGCUCUACCAGUUCGUCGUUCAGUUCGGAAGCGUGGUGGUCGCAUGGCGGUCCAGUUACGCAGAGAGAGCAGCUGCUUCCCAAAGAGGAUCCAGAACUCGGUCAGCAGUGGCCAGGAUUGCCUGUACCUACGGUUCCUGAGAGUGAUGUUGACCACACGGCUGCCGUGAGCGAUGAAGAUUUUGAAGCGAUGGAUGAAGAUAUGCGUCGACUUGAAGAAAAAAUUAGGCAAUUUGAACAUGAACUUGAGGAAGAUCUUGAAAUAUCUCUCUUGGUAGAAAACACUCACAAAAUGCCCAAUUUUUCUUUGUUAGAUAAGUCUACUUUACGAUCGUCCCCUCUUCCUGAUAACUAUCCUCCAGUAUGUAUGAAGAAAACUAAGCAUUUUAGUUUCAUGACGAUCAAGGAUGUAGAGGAGUAUCUAAGAUCCGACUCGGAAUCCGAAUCCAGUUCUUCCUCACUAUCAUCUGAUGACUUAUUUUUCGCUAAAAGAAAACUCAAAUUAAAAAUUGGUGAUCGUAGAUGUUUUUCCGUGGAUUUGAGUAAACGUUCUACCAUUGAUGAUUGCAAAUCUGAAUGUCUUAUGAAGAUAUUAUCAAUAUCCAAAGGUAAUCAGGAUAAGGCAACCAUCCAAGAAACUCUCGACGAUUCAGCAGCGGAACAGAACGAGAAAACGGCCAACUGCCCGGUACAAAAUGGCUUCAAAUUGGUUGGUCAAUAUUGGCGGUCCGAAGAUGGAGUUGCGGUUCUCGAUAGUGAGGGACUGGCCGAGUUUUAUGCUGGAACCAACCCUUCUGGAGUAUGUUUCAUAUUCGAAGAUGAGUCUGACGAUGAGAUUUUUUACGAUGAGGCGAUCGACGAUGUAUGUGAUAGCUCGAACAUUCCACGUGAAGAACCUGCAACCGAACUAAGUUCGAAUUUUGAUCCUGGAACUCCAUCUAUUGAAGAGAAUCCUUCCAAGCCCGUUAGAAAGUCAAAAUUUGUGUCUUCAUUCAAAAACAGUUUCGUUAAUGCCACGAAAAGCAUUGGCCCCAAAUUCAGCGCCAAACUUGAGGAGAAUUCUUCUUCUCCACCCCACUCUGAUCCUUCAGGAACAAGCUAUCUCAGCAAGGAACCAAGCUCGUUCAUCAGUGACUUUCUAUCAUCGAAAAUCAAACCCAAAGGAAUGCAGAAUAAAGCAAUUGAUGUCGUGGGUGAAUUCGCCACCUUGCCAGCCUCCAGUGGUGAGAGUGAUGCCUGCAAUAGCUCCAUUGUCUCAGGAGAGUACUUGGCUUCUCCUGCUGUGUGCGUCUUUUCGGAUGAAGAUAACCGCGUACCUGAAUAUAACCUAUUUCAACCACCACCAUCGCAUGAUGCAAUAUGUCGUCAAAGUUCCCUUGCUGCUCCUUCUCCACCUGUGCGCAAGUCCUCGUUGGACGCUGUCGUUCCGGGCAGUUCUGGAACAUUCCGUCGCCCGUCUGGUGUGGUGCACGAAAAUUUGGCUCGACACAUGGUUUCUGGAGUUCCUAGAGCGCUGCCAACUCCUCCGUCCGUCCCUCCAAGAUCCACCACCCUUAACUUCUAUCCAAUUCGGACCAGCGGACCAAGACCACCUCAGUCCGGCAGCUGAAAAGGAGGCAGAUGGAGCGAAAGAUAGAGCUAUCGGAGGAAGCAAAGGAGGACACUCCUGGCUGUAACUUUUGUGUUCGAAGAAGUCGUACUCUAGAAGACGCCCGUCACAGCCGCUAUCAGCCGAGGCGAUCCAGUCCUCAUCCCAAAGCUCUAUCGCUGCCUCAACGUCGCUCAUGGCCUCCUAGAAAAUGACAACAGAAGCUUUACCCGUCUGACGAUGAAGAUUUACUAUUGUAUGAAUUUUUAUUAGAUAUUAUAAAUAUAAU